AACUCUUGGUGCCUCUAGAGCAGCCUACAAGGAUUAGAAAAGAGGAAGGGGGGUGGGGGGUGGGGGGAAUGGGGUUGUGUGGGUUGAGAAGCAUGAAUGGCAAUGAUCUUUUUAAGAAGAAAGCCAUGUUGGGAAAAACAUUCCCCUUUGCAAUUUGUUUGGGGGAAAAGAAAAGGAGCAAGAAAUUAUAUGCAAGGAAAAGGAAUGAAUGCAAGACUUACAAGGCAUAACAAGCUAAAUCGCA
rnacentral:misc_RNA from 1 species